UACGGAGGGUGCAAGCGUUAUCCGGAUUCACUGGGUUUAAAGGGUGCGUAGGCGGAUAGGUAAGUCCGUGGUGAAAUCCUGCCGCUUAACUGCAGAACUGCCAUGGAUACUAUUUAUCUUGAAUGUCGUGGAGGUUAGCAGAAUAUGUCAUGUAGCGGUGAAAUGCUUAGAUAUGACAUAGAAUACCCAUUGCGAAGGCAGCUAACUACGCGGUAAUUGACGCUGAUGCACGAAAGCGUGGGGAUCAAACAGG
rnacentral:rRNA from 1 species